rnacentral:lncRNA from 1 species
CCUUGUUAAUUCGCGCUCAUGUGAACCUUGUGUGAGUUUGCUGCUGCUGAUGAAGCUUUUGCAGACGCUGUCUGCGUUCCGGAUCUCUUCUUGUGUUCCUGUUACCGUCACGAUAAUCGAAUCAUGAGACGAUUUGGUUUGGUUUGCGAAGAGCAUGGCUACGCUUGUUUGUGAGUGAUUGAUCUCGUCUCGUCGGUUUUAACCUUGUGACGUGUCUCAUUUCUUUUGCACAAAUUGUCCAACACAUGUUGGUACUCCAGGUUGGUGAGCAGGGCCUGUCCGAUUGUGAUGUCCGUCCGUGCUCUUCUCCUGUCGUGGUUCCGGGUAGUUGGCUCGGCUGGCACAUCCAACUUGCCCUGGAUCUGCCGCUGCGUUUCGGCCAGGCAUCUGAUAGUAGGGCUGCUCUAAAACUAGCUUCCCAACGUGGUUGCUGCGUCCGCAUAGUUUAGUUGGAGGGGGAAACUGCGUCGGAUGCCAUCGUCGGCAUAUAUCUCGAGUUCUUCUGCUCUGUCUAUUCUGAAAUGAGUCUAUCUAAGCUGCAGAGCCGUGCCAAGAAGUUAAACGCAAAUCACACGUCGUUGUGAUUUUGUCAAGUCAAUUCGAGUUGCUUUUAUCAGAUCGGUCAACUUGGGUCUUUUCCCUCUUUAACUCCCGACUCCGUUACGGACACGCAUGUCCUCCUUGCUCAGCCAAACCAAAAUACUACUAGAACUCCAGCUGGCUGGCCAAUCCAACUAUCCAGCCGAUUUUACUCCAGUCGGCAAGCGUAUAUAUGAGCCAACAGAUCAAGCCAAGCGGGAAAGCAGGCAGGCCACGCGCGCACACUCGUCUCGUCCUCCACCCACCUCGCCUUCGCCUCCGCCGCACGCAACAGCCCACCAGCCACCCCACCACACCACAGCAGAGCGCCCAUGGAGACGGAGAGGCGGGCGAGCAGCGGCAAGCGCGCGUCCGGCGCACCGCCCAAGGUGGUGGCCGUCCUCGCCGGCCUGCUCGAGCGCGCCGCCAAGCGCGGCGACGCUGUUGACGGCGAUGGCUCCGGCUCGGCGGCGUUCCGGGGGCCGACGGAGAAGAAGCCGGAGAUCGGCGUGCGGCGGUACGCGGAGCGCAUAUACCGGUACGCCGGGUGCAGCCCGGCGUGCUUCGUGGUCGCCUACGCCUACCUCGACCGCCUCGCCGCGCCGUCGCUGGAGGCGGAGUCCGCGGCGGUGGCCGUGGACUCGUACAGCGUGCACCGCCUGCUCAUCACCAGCGUCAUGGUCGCCGCCAAGUUCAUGGACGACAUGUGAGUGCUGCCCGCCCGCUCCCAUCUCCCCCCUCAAAUCCGACCUCCAUUGCAUCGCUCAUACCGACUCUCGGCCUUCGUCGGCAAAGCUAGUUUACGCGCGCUCCGAGAGAUUAACAAUUCGCGCCGAACAGUUGACCGUCUGGCAAUUAACCACGCACCUGCGCUAUUACUGCCGCCGCCGCCUGCAUCGAUGCAUUUGCAGGUGCAAUUUCGUGGCAUGUGCGUCUCAUUUCUCAGCUUAGUAAAAUAAAUUUGUUCAGCUCGAACGAGUCCAGUUCAGAAGCUGUUGACAGGACGCAUGAGAGCCAUCUCACCUGUGUGACCUGCUGUCGGCGCGUAGAGCUGGCUGGAGCAGAGCAGAGGGUGGUGGUGUGUCGGCAGGGCCAAAACGUGCACCCGCCAUGCGUCGGUGUCGCCGCCGAGCAGGGCCGCGUUGCGCGGGCCGACACGUGGGACGGUCCUGGGGUUCUGACGUGGCGGUCUGGCUGCCUGUCCGUGUGCUCCGACUCAUCUGGCACAACCACCAUCUCCCCCGGUCGACGCGGAUCGCACGGCCGUGGUGGAUUAUUCUGGCUGCCAGAGUGCCCGUCGAGCUGGACUCGGAUAGCAGCCGCUGCCCUUUUUUUUUUGUCUCCCUACAGAGUCCAGAUCAGAUGAGAUUAUUAUUUUUUGGAUGGGAGGAAGAUCAGAUUAAGUAGGAGUGAUAGGUGUGGUGGUGCGGUCUCGAUGAUGCGUAGCUUUGCACCAUCUUUUUGUCUGAUGAUUCAAUACAAACGCGCACUGCUAGCCGCAAUAAAAAAAAUUAUUUUCAGGAAAGCAGUAUAAAGAAUAAUAGUAGUUCAAUUGGUAUUCACUUUGCUCAGCUGAUGAAGAGGCGUUUCAACUACCUGCACGUACCGUCCACAUGCGCAGCUAAAAAAUGCGGCCGCCCAGCGUGAUUGUUGUUCUUGUUUGAACCGAGGUUUUUUAUAGUUGUUGUUAUUGUAUUGUUACGGCAAAUGAAAUGAAAUAAUAGGACCACCUGACCGGUAGGUGCAUGGUCGAUCGACGACGUUCGGUUGGGACGUCCGUCCGUCCGUCCAGCUGGUCGCUGCGGCGUUGCCCUCCCACAUGAACUCGAUUGCUCACCUAACUCAAGAAAUACAUCAUCAGCAUAGCACUAAACACCACUAGCUUAGCGCUAGCUCGUCUCCCCACCUACACACUUAGCCGCUAAUCAUAUGCAUGUGCCUAGUUCCAUGUUACUAUGACGCUAGAUCGGCCUGUACAAUUGCACUAGUUAAUAAUUAUACAAUGUGUAGAUUACAAUCUACUCCUACAAUGCAUCAAUGUGUGCACGCGUGCGUGGAUGCAGACACUACAACAACGCCUACUUCGCGCGGGUGGGCGGCGUGGAGCUGCGGGAGAUGAACGGCCUGGAGCUGGAGUUCCUCUUCGCGCUGCGCUUCCGCCUCAACGUCACGCCCGACGACUUCGCAUCCUACUGCGCCGCGCUCGAGGGCGAGAUGCUCACCACCACCACGCCGCCGCCGCUGUCGCCACCGGCGGUCAUGGCCUCAGUCUCAGUCUCGCCGGAGGAGGAGGAGGAACAGGACGCCUCUGCCGUCGCGGGAGGCGGCAUCAUCACGGCCUUCGCGGCGGCUGCCCGGGUAUCGGUGGCCGUGGCCGAGAUCACCCAAUGACACGGAGACAACGUACGAGCGCGCGUGUGAUUCUUUCAUUUAUUUUUCAUUUUUUAUAGCUUCUUGGUGAGGUGUACCACGUUCGUUGUCAAUUGAAUGUGUACAGUUCUAUCUUUUUGAGCUAUCGAUGAAUAACUUAUUUUCGGAU